rnacentral:rRNA from 1 species
UGGGGAAUAUUGCACAAUGGGCGCAAGCCUGAUGCAGCCAUGCCGCGUGUAUGAAGAAGGCCUUCGGGUUGUAAAGUACUUUCAGCGGGGAGGAAGGGAGUAAAGUUAAUACCUUUGCUCAUUGACGUUACCCGCAGAAGAAGCACCGGCUAACUCCGUGCCAGCAGCCGCGGUAAUACGGAGGGUGCAAGCGUUAAUCGGAAUUACUGGGCGUAAAGCGCACGCAGGCGGUUUGUUAAGUCAGAUGUGAAAUCCCCGGGCUCAACCUGGGAACUGCAUUCGAAACUGGCAGGCUAGAGUAUUGUAGAGGGGGGUAGAAUUCCAGGUGUAGCGGUGAAAUGCGUAGAGAUCUGGAGGAAUACCGGUGGCGAAGGCGGCCCCCUGGACAAAGACUGACGCUCAGGUGCGAAAGCGUGGGGAGCAAACAGG